rnacentral:rRNA from 1 species
ACCUGGUUGAUCCUGCCAGUAGUCAUAUGCUUGUCUCAAAGCUUAAGCCAUGCAAGUGUAAGUUCACGCCACGCAUUAGAACGGGCGAAACCGCGAAUGGCUCAGGAACCGGACCUAAUCCUCGGGACCGUAAUCCUCCUCGGAGGCGAUGGAUAACUGUGGCAAUUCUAGAGCUAAUACAUGUGACACAGGCCGCGAUCGGCCGUCGCGCCGUGGUCGCCUCGCCUCGCGCGCUGGCACCCGCGGCGGCCGUCUUGGGUCGCGGCGCUACAUAUUAGACUGAGACCGAUGCGCGAUUCCCGUCCUCUCGUUCGUCUCUCUCGCUCUCGGGCUUGGGUCGCGUUCGGGGCCAAAGGACGGCGCGCUCCGCUUUGGUGACUCUGGAUAACUCACUGGUCGAUCGCACGGGCUUCCACGCCCGGCGACGGGUCCCCCGAGGGUCCGCCCUAUCAACUGUCGACGGUCGGUUAAGUGCCUACCGUGGUUACUACGGGUAACGGGGAAUCGGGGUUCGAUUCCGGAGAGGGAGCAUGCGAAACGGCUACCACAUCCAAGGAAGGCAGCAGGCGCGCAAAUUACCCACUCCCGGCACGGGGAGGUAGUGACGAAAAAUAACGACGCGGGACUCUGUCGAGGCCCCGCGAUCGGAAUGAGUACACUUCAAAUCCGUUAACGAGGACCAACCGGAGGGCAAGUCUGGUGCCAGCAGCCGCGGUAAUUCCAGCUCCGGUAGCGUAUAUUAAAGUUGUUGCGGUUAAAAAGCUCGUAGUCCGAACUCGGGUUCGUGGUCGCUCACGCGGCCCCGGGGCGGCGGCGCCAUCGUCCAUCGUUGACUUUGGUCGUCCGUUCGCAUUCCCGGCCCUUUCCGCCGGUGUCAAUCGCUAUAUAGACCGGGGCGGUUCCGGCUGGUUUGGGGUGCGUCGUCAUAGGUCUGGUGUUUGGGGAAAAGGUGUCGCGGGUUCGCGCCCACGUCGCCCCUACUCGGACCCUGAUCUUCGGCCGGGCUCUCGGGCCCCCUCGAAUCAACGCUCGGUCCGUUCUGGUCUGGCGGUUUCUCCUCCAAGGGUGCUCUUAACCGAGUGUCCGCGGCGGCCGGUACGUUCACUUUGAAAAAAUUAGAGUGCUCAGAGCGGGCUGUUCAAGCUUGCAUACUAUAAGCAUGGAAUGAUGGAAGAGGGCCUCGUCUACGUCUGUCGGUCUCCGUCUACGGCGAGGCAAUGAUCGAAGGGAGCGGUCGGGGCCACUCGUAUUGCGACGUUAGAGGUGAAAUUCUUGGAUCGUCGCAAGACGAACUGCAGCGAUGGCGUGUGGCAAGCACGUUUUCCUCGAUCAAGAGCGAAAGUCGGAGGUUCGAAGACGAUCAGAUACCGUCGUAGUUCCGACCGUAAACGAUGCCGACCGGCGAUCCGCCGGCGUUCGCUUCCAUGACCCGGCGGGUAGCCUGCGGGAAACCAGAGUUCGGUUCCGGGGGGAGUAUGGUUGCAAAGCUGAAACUUAAAGGAAUUGACGGAAGGGCACCACCAGGAGUGGAGCCUGCGGCUUAAUUUGACCCAACACGGGAAAACUCACCCGGUCCGGACACCGGUAGGAUUGACAGAUCGAUAGCUCUUUCUCGAUUCGGUGGGUGGUGGUGCAUGGCCGUUCUUAGUUGGUGGAGCGAUCCGUCUGGUUGAUUCCGAUAACGAACGAGACUCCGGCCUGCUAACUAGUGCGCCGAUGUGAGUGCGGCCCUUUGCUGGUCGUGUGCGGGCUUGCGGUCCGCGUUCAUUUUUGAUGUUCGUGGUCUUCGUGUGUCCGGGUCGGUUUCUCACGCACUUCUUAGAGGGACGGGUGGCAGAAAGCCACACGAGGCGGAGCGAUAACAGGUCUGUGAUGCCCUUAGAUGUCCGGGGCCGCACGCGCGCUACACUGGAGGUAUCAGCGGGGACUUCGCCCCGGCCCGAGAGGGUCGGGAAACCUCUCAACCACCUCCCGUGAUAGGGAUCGGGGCCUGUAACCAACCCCGUGAACGAGGAAUUCCCGGUAGGCGCGGGUCAACAGCCCGCGUCGAUCACGUCCCUGCCCUUUGUACACACCGCCCGUCGCUACUACCGAUCGAACGGUCCGGUGAGGUCCUCGGAUCUGGCCGACGACGCCGCCGGGCGACAGGGGCAACCCUUGAGCCUCGGCGUUCGAUGCCUGGAGAAGACGACCGAACCCGAUCGUUUAGAGGAAGUAAAAGUCGUAACAAGGUUUCCGUAGGUGAACCUGCGGAAGGAUCAUUA